rnacentral:rRNA from 1 species
UGGGGAAUAUUGCACAAUGGGCGCAAGCCUGAUGCAGCAACGCCGCGUGAACGAUGAAGGUCUUCGGAUCGUAAAGUUCUGUUGCAGGGGAAGAUAAUGACGGUACCCCGUGAGGAAGCCCCGGCUAACUACGUGCCAGCAGCCGCGGUAAUACGUGGGGGGCUAGCGUUAUCCGGAUUUACUGGGCGUAAAGGGUGCGUAGGUGGUCUUUCAAGUCGGUGGUUAAAGGCUACGGCUCAACCGUAGUUAGCCUCCGAAACUGGAAGACUUGAGUGCAGGAGAGGAAAGUGGAAUUCCCAGUGUAGCGGUGAAAUGCGUAGAUAUUGGGAGGAACACCAGUAGCGAAGGCGGCUUUCUGGACUGCAACUGACACUGAGGGACGAAAGCGUGGGUAGCAAACAGG